GGGCGGUUAGUUCAGCAGGUAGAACAAGCGAAACUUAUCCAUAGAAGCCAUGGUCAGCGGUUCGAGUCCGCUACCGCCCA
rnacentral:tRNA from 1 species